rnacentral:rRNA from 1 species
AGUGAACGCUGGCGGUAGGCCUAACACAUGCAAGUCGAACGGCAGCGCAGUAAGAGCUUGCUCUUACGGGUGGCGAGUGGCGGACGGGUGAGGAAUACAUCGGAAUCUACUUUUUCGUGGGGGAUAACGUAGGGAAACUUACGCUAAUACCGCAUACGACCUACGGGUGAAAACAGGGGAUCUUCGGACCUUGCGCGAUUGAAUGAGCCGAUGUCGGAUUAGCUAGUUGGCGGGGUAAAGGCCCACCAAGGCGACGAUCCGUAGCUGGUCUGAGAGGAUGAUCAGCCACACUGGAACUGAGACACGGUCCAGACUCCUACGGGAGGCAGCAGUGGGGAAUAUUGGACAAUGGGCGCAAGCCUGAUCCAGCCAUACCGCGUGGGUGAAGAAGGCCUUCGGGUUGUAAAGCCCUUUUGUUGGGAAAGAAAAGCAGCAGGUUAAUACCCCGCUGUUCUGACGGUACCCAAAGAAUAAGCACCGGCUAACUUCGUG